UACGGAGGGUGCAAGCGUUACUCGGAAUUACUGGGCGUAAAGCGCACGCAGGUGGCUGAGAAAGUCGAUUGUGAAAGCCCUGGGCUUAACCUGGGAAUUGCAGUCGAAACUACUCGGCUAGAGUAUGGGAGAGGACAGUGGAAUUCCCGGUGUAGCGGUGAAAUGCGUAGAUAUCGGGAGGAACAUCAGUGGCGAAGGCGGCUGUCUGGCCCAAUACUGACACUCAGGUGCGACAGCGUGGGGAGCAAACAGG
rnacentral:rRNA from 1 species